GACGAACGCUGGCGGCGUGCCUAAUACAUGCAAGUCGAGCGAGCGGCGGACGGGUGAGUAAUGUCUGGGAAACUGCCCGAUGGAGGGGGAUAACUACUGGAAACGGUAGCUAAUACCGCAUACUAUCGGAUGGGCCCAGAUGGGCUUAGCUUGUGGGUGAGGUAACGGCUCACCUAGGCGACGAUCCCUAGCUGGUCUGAGAGGAUGACCAGCCACACUGGAACUGGGACACGGUCCAGACUCCUACGGGAGGCAGCAGUGGGGAAUAUUGCACAAUGGGCGCAAGCCUGAUGCAGCCAUGCCGCGUGUAUGAAGAAGGCCUUCGGGUUGUAAAGUAGUUUCAGCGGGGAGGCGUUACCCGCAGAGGAAGCACCGGCUAACUCCGUGCCAGCCGCCGCGGUAAUUC
rnacentral:rRNA from 1 species